ACAGAUCUCAACAUGACUUCUAAAAGGUUUGCCACAGGAAUUUAGGAGAACAUAAGUCAAGGUGGAUGAUUCCUCCAAACAACUCCCGUCUCUCUAAGGAAAACAGAACUCUGGUUACAACUGGUGACAUUAUUUUUAAUUUUAGUUUUAGUUUUGGUUGACAAGUAAUAAUUGUAUAUAUCUGCUAUGGUUUGAAUGUCCCCUCCAAAACUCAUUUUGAAAUUUAAUUGCCAUUGUAUAGAGAGGUGGGAACUUUAAGAAGUGAUUAAGUCAUGGGGACAUUGCCCUCAUAAAUGGAUUAAGGCCAUUACUGUGGGAGUAAGUUAGGUAUUCCAAUUGAUUUAGUUAUGAACAGGAUAAGUUUGGCGCAAAUUUUGUCUGUGUUUCACACACUCUCACCCUCUGUCACCCUUCCACAUCCUGUCAUGUUUUCCACCAUGUUAUGAUGCAGGAAAUAAAGGCCCUCACCAGAUGUAGC
rnacentral:lncRNA from 1 species